rnacentral:misc_RNA from 1 species
GAUGAAGAACGUAGCGAAAUGCGAUACGUAAUGUGAAUUGCAGAAUUCAGUGAAUCAUCGAAUCUUUGAACGCAUAUUGCGCUCUCUGGUAUUCCGGAGAGCAUGCUUGUUUGAGUAUCAGUAAACACCUCAACUUCCAUAUCUUUUUUGAAAUGGGAGUUGGACUUGAGUGAUCCCAACGCUUUUCCUCACCGAAAAGUGGCGGGUUACUUGAAAUGCAGGUGCAGCUGGACUUUUCUCUGAGCUAUAAGCAUAGCUAUUUAGUCUGCCUAAAAAACAGAUUAUUACCUUUGCUGCAGCUAACAUAAAGGAGAUUAGUUCUUGUGCUGACUGAUGCAGGAUUCACAAAGACGGCUUCGGCCGACUUUGUAAACUCGAUCUCAAAUCAAGUAAGACUACCCGCUGAACUUAAGCAUAUCAAUAAGCGGAGGA